rnacentral:rRNA from 1 species
AGAGCGAACGCUGGCGGCAGGCUUAACACAUGCAAGUCGAGCGGGCGUAGCAAUACGUCAGCGGCAGACGGGUGAGUAACGCGUGGGAACGUACCUUUGGUUCGGAACAACACAGGGAAACUUGUGCUAAUACCGGAUAAGCCCUUACGGGGAAAGAUUUAUCGCCAAAAGAUCGGCCCGCGUCUGAUUAGCUAGUUGGUGAGGUAACGGCUCACCAAGGCGACGAUCAGUAGCUGGUCUGAGAGGAUGAUCAGCCACAUUGGGACUGAGACACGGCCCAAACUCCUACGGGAGGCAGCAGUGGGGAAUAUUGGACAAUGGGCGCAAGCCUGAUCCAGCCAUGCCGCGUGAGUGAUGAAGGCCCUAGGGUUGUAAAGCUCUUUUGUGCGGGAAGAUAAUGACGGUACCGCAAGAAUAAGCCCCGGCUAACUUCGUGCCAGCAGCCGC